rnacentral:rRNA from 2 species
UGCGCUUAUGGGCGGNGAGCGGAGCGACGGGUGAGUAAUGCCUGGGAAUAUGCCCUGGUGUGGGGGAUAACCAUUGGAAACGAUGGCUAAUACCGCAUAAUCUCUUCGGAGCAAAGAGGGGGACCUUCGGGCCUCUCGCGUCAGGAUUAGCCCAGGUGAGAUUAGCUAGUUGGAGAGGAAAGAGCUCACCAAGGCGACUAUCUCUAGCUGGUCUGAGAGGAUGAUCAGCCACACUGGAACUGAUACACGGUGCAGACUCCUACGGGAGGCACCAGCGGGGAAUAUUGCACAAUGGGGGAAACCCUGAUGCAGUCAUGCCGCGUGUGAGAAGAAGGCCUUCGGGUUGUAAAGCACUUUCUGUUGUGAGGAAGGCAUAUACGUUAAUACCGUGUGUGUUUGACGUUAGCAACAGAACAAGCACCGGAUAACUCCGUGCCAGCAGGCGCGGUAAUACGGAGGGUGCGAGCGUUAAUCCGAAUUACUGGGUGUAAAGCGCAUGCAGGCGGCUUGUUAAGCCAGAUGUGAAAGCCCGGGGGUCAACCUCGGAAUAGCAUUUGUAACUGGCAGGAUAGAGGCUUGUAGAGGGUGGNAGAAUUUCAGGUGUAGCGGAGAAAUGCGUAGAGAUCUGAAGGAAUACCGNUGGUGCACGGGGACCCCUGGACAAAGACUGACGCUCANAUGCGAAAGCGUGGUGAGCAAACAGGAUUAGAUACCCUGGNAGUCCACGCCGUACACGGAUGUCUACUUGGAGGUUGNAACCUUGAGUUCUGGCUUUCGGGAGCUAACGCAUUAAGUAGACCGCCCUGGGGGNAGUACGGUCGCAAGAUUAAAACUCANUAUCGAAUUGA